GACAGAGGUGCCAAGCGUUAGGCGGAAUCACUGGGCUUAAAGCGUGUGUAGGCGGAAUGGUAAGUACCUUGUGAAAUCCCACGGCUCAACCGUGGAACUGCUCGGUAUACUGCUUUUCUUGAGCCACUUAGGGGCUGUCGGAACAAACGGUGGAGCGGUGAAAUGCGUAGAUAUCAGGAGGAACACCGGUGGCGAAGGCGGGUCUCUGGGCCGAUAUCGACGCUGAGGAGCGAAAGCGUGGGGAGCGAACAGG
rnacentral:rRNA from 1 species